CGCUGGGGCUGCGCAUGUGUCUUACGGCUUCUCCCGGAAGUCUCUUCCUAGGUUCUGAGCGUGAAGGCUGUUCCUAGCUUCUGAGCGUGAACCUGCAGAGAUGAACCCUUUAACUAAGGUUAAGCUGAUCAACGAGCUGAAUGAGCGUGAGGUCCAGCUGGGGGUAGCGGAGAAGGUGUCUUGGCACUCCGAGUACAAGGACAGCGCCUGGAUCUUCUUGGGAGGGCUUCCUUAUGAGCUGACUGAAGGGGACAUCAUCUGUGUGUUCUCACAAUAUGGCGAAAUUGUUAACAUUAAUUUGGUACGGGACAAGAAGACUGGGAAAUCCAAAGGAUUCUGUUUCCUCUGCUAUGAAGACCAGAGGAGCACAAUUCUGGCUGUUGACAAUUUUAAUGGGAUCAAGAUCAAAGGAAGAACUAUCCGAGUGGAUCAUGUGUCUAACUAUCGGGCUCCUAAGGACUCAGAAGAAAUGGAUGAUGUGACCAGAGAGCUGCAGGAGAGGGGCUGCGGGGCUCACACUCCCUCACUGAAUUCAUCUGAGGGCUCUGAAGAUGGCAAACCCACCAAAAAACACAAAAAAGACAGAAAGGAAAAAAAGAAAAGAAAGAAAGAAAAAGAGAAGACUGACCAGGAGGUACAGGCAGAGCAGCCAGCCUCCUCUUCAUCGCCCAGAAGCAAGAUGAUAAAGGAAAAGGAUGACCCUGGCUCUAAAAAGCACAGUGGCAAGAACUCAGAGAGGGGUCAGAAGUCAGAGUCCAGGGAGGUGUGGAAGCCCCACCCCAGCUCCCCUGAGAUCAGGGCCACCUGCUGUGGUGGAACAGAGGACCGAGAGAGGGAGCUGAGGAAGGAGAAGCCCAAGCACGAACACAAGUCAUCAAGCAGGAGGGAAGAGAGAGAAGACAAGAACAGAGAUAGAGACAGAGGUCGAAGCUCAGAUGCACAUUGCAGCUGGCACAGUGGGCGCUCUGAGGGGCGUAGUCACAGAAGUAGAAGUAGGAGUCAAGAUAAAUCUCACAGGCAUAAAAGGGCCCGGCACUCCCGGGACCGGGAGUCCUCUAAUCCUAGUGACCACAGGCAUCACUGAAGCCACAGCCUGUUCAGCUGCAUGUUGGAUCUGAGGGAUGCUCGUCAUCACCACUAAAAGAAAAAGGAUCUAUUGCUCUCUGUUGAUAAGUUUGAUCCACUGUACCUGAAGGAAGAGUUUUAUCUCCAGAUAAGAAUGACUCAAGAUGGGGGCUUCCCUGGUGGCGCAGUGGUUGAGAGUCCGCCUGCCGAUGUGGGGGACACGGGUUCGUGUCCCGGUCCGGGAAGAUCCCACAUGCUGCGGAGCAGCUGGGCCCGUGAGCCAUGGCCACUGGGCCUGUGCGUCCGGAGCCUGUGCUCCGCAACGGGAGAGGCCACAGCAGUGAGAGGCCCGCGUACCGCAAGAAAAAAGAAUGACUCAAGAUGAUGGUUAAAUAUCUCCCUUAUAUAACUUGCUAUUUUUGUAACAGGUAUAUUACUUAUGCCUUUUUUAUCUUUUGAAAGAGACUGGUAUAGAUUUGAAUUAGAAAUGUCAUUAUAAAUGGCAUCAACCAUAGCCUGGAUAUCUUUUCUGAAAUCACAUUUUGUUUUUCACUUCCAUCUUUAAUAAUGCAUGUUGCAUGUUUAGAAAUUAUUGACAUGAUCUCAUCAAUCAUUCUCACAACUGUGUUGCUGAAGUGUGACUACGAAAGGCAUGGGUCUUCUGCACUGCAGUUCAAUGGACAUAUCUGAGAUAAAACCCGAGUGACUAUAUUUUCCAAAUGUGUAUAUGAUAAUAUGGUGGUAUAUAUUGUACAAGUCUGUCUUCGGAGUCUUGAUUUACUGAUCGCAUAAUGAACUCUCUUUAUCAAAACAUCAGCAUUGAGUUUUGAGUAUGAUUUAAAAGGCAGGAGGAAUGUGGAGGAAUUCGGAAAUCAAAAACUUCAGCCAGGAUAAUUUUAGUUACCCUCUCCGCCAGUGUCUUGGUGUCACCGAGAAGGUCUUUAUUAGGUUCCAGUUCACAUUCUUGUAAAACUUUGCUAUAUGCCGUGUCAAUAAUUUUUAUCACUAUGUCUCUAUCUACUAGGGGCAAGCACAAUUGUUCCUUAGCAUUUUCUAGGAUGCUAACUUGAACUUUUGAGAAUUCUUCCAUUAUCAAAUAUAUGAGUUUUCCAGCUGUUUCCAACAGUUCUUUUUCUGAAUCUCUUAGUGAUUUUGUUUGCACAAUACCUAAUACCCUGUGGAAUAUUUUGCUUAAAACCCCAGAGAUCACAUCUUCCAAAAAGGCUGAGGAGUAAACACUGGCAAAAAAACAUUGCCUUCUUCUCAUACUAUCAAAGUAUGCAUAUGAUGAGGGAAAUGACAACUUUCCAUACACAAAUGGAUGAAGAUGUUGUUGACAGAUAUUUUUAAUGAUAAAACCUGCUAUUCUAUCAAUAAGAACAUUGUCACUGCUUGUGUUAUCGUGCUCAACUGCUUCUUGAGACCCAGAGUUUUGCAAGAUAUUUCUGAAUGUGGAAUCAACGAGACGCUGAGCAUCAUCCUUUGAAUAAACAGAUUCGGUUUCAUCUUCAUCUUUUGAAAAUCGAAUUUCACGUUGGGAAAUUUUCAUCCUAAUAUCACUGAUUAACUUUGAAGAGAUUUCGCUGUGAUUAAUUCCUGAUCUAUCUUGGAGUUUCACUGUAUAGAACCAUGUUAGAUGAAGAAGGAAAGAUUCUAGAUAAUAAUACUCUGAUUAUGUCUUCUAAAAAUGUGUAUGGCAGCAAGGUGUUAUAUGGAGAUAAAUGCUGGCUUGGCUGGGUAGGUUCAGUGAUGCCACUAAAGAUGUUCUGAAUAAUGUUUUCUGCUGUUAAAGUAGCAUAGGAAGAAGCCGACAAAUCCCCAGAAAACAGUGGAUGAAAAGAUAAUCAGAAAUAUCUGCUAUGAUUAAAUUGGUAAUGUUUUCCA